rnacentral:rRNA from 1 species
UACGAAGGGGGCUAGCGUUGCUCGGAAUGACUGGGCGUAAAGGGCGCGUAGGCGGACUGCACAGUCAGGCGUGAAAUUCCUGGGCUUAACCUGGGGACUGCGUCUGAGACGUGUGGUCUAGAGUGAGGAAGAGGGUCGUGGAAUUUCCAGUGUAGAGGUGAAAUUCGUAGAUAUUGGAAAGAACACCGGUGGCGAAGGCGGCGACCUGGUCCUUGACUGACGCUGAGGCGCGAAAGCGUGGGGAGCAAUCAGG